rnacentral:sRNA from 1 species
GCUGAUGAGGGGCUGCAGCAUGCAAUUCACUUCACCAGCAGUCACUAAGGUCUGAUCUCUUUUCUAACCACACCUGGAAGAUGGGAUGCUGGACCCAGGGUAUGCAUAGAAAAUGGGAGUUAUUAGAAAAGCAGCUUUGCUUGCUUUAACCCAGGAAUUGUAUUUCUGGCUUUUAGACUUGGACUGGGACUACACCAUCAACUUUCCUUGGUCUCCAGCUUGCAGACAACAGAUUAUGGGACUUACCAGUCUCCAUAAUCAGAGGGCUUUGACAUAUCAAAGCACCAGGGAUCUUACCAAACUAAAUUUUAAGCACUUAUAGCUCAAGAUUCUCCCUCUGAGAUGAAACAUACUUCCACCCUGUCAUGUAUCAGCUUCAGAAGAUAUCAAUUGCUCAAGAAAGCGUUGGACAAGCAGAAAAGCACACUGAACAUUUCUGGACUUGUGAAAGAGCUCUGAAU